CAGAUUGAACGCUGGCGGCAGGCCUAACACAUGCAAGUCGAGCGGCAGCGGAAAGUAGUUUACUACUUUGCCGGCGAGCGGCGGACGGGUGAGUAAUGUCUGGGAAACUGCCUGAUGGAGGGGGAUAACUACUGGAAACGGUAGCUAAUACCGCAUGACCUCGCAAGAGCAAAGUGGGGGACCUUCGGGCCUCACGCCAUCGGAUGUGCCCAGAUGGGAUUAGCUAGUAGGUGGGGUAAUGGCUCACCUAGGCGACGAUCCCUAGCUGGUCUGAGAGGAUGACCAGCCACACUGGAACUGAGACACGGUCCAGACUCCUACGGGAGGCAGCAGUGGGGAAUAUUGCACAAUGGGCGCAAGCCUGAUGCAGCCAUGCCGCGUGUGUGAAGAAGGCCUUCGGGUUGUAAAGCACUUUCAGCGAGGAGGAAGGGGUUGAGUUUAAUACGCUCAAUCAUUGACGUUACUCGCAGAAGAAGCACCG
rnacentral:rRNA from 1 species